rnacentral:rRNA from 1 species
AACGUAGGAGGCUAGCGUUAUCCGGAUUUAUUGGGCGUAAAGCGCGUGCAGGCGGUCUGACAAGUUGGAUGUGAAAGCUCCCGGCUUAACUGGGAGAGGUCGUUCAAAACUGUUAGACUAGAGAAUGGGAGAGGGAGGUGGAAUUCCGGGUGUAGUGGUGAAAUGCGUAGAUAUCCGGAGGAACACCAGUGGCGAAAGCGGCCUCCUGGACCACUUCUGACGCUAAGACGCGAAAGCUAGGGUAGCAAACGGG